rnacentral:rRNA from 2 species
UGCAAGUCGAGCGAACUGAUUAGAAGCUUGCUUCUAUGACGUUAGCGGCGGACGGGUGAGUAACACGUGGGCAACCUGCCUGUAAGACUGGGAUAACUUCGGGAAACCGAAGCUAAUACCGGAUAGGAUCUUCUCCUUCAUGGGAGAUGAUUGAAAGAUGGUUUCGGCUAUCACUUACAGAUGGGCCCGCGGUGCAUUAGCUAGUUGGUGAGGUAACGGCUCACCAAGGCAACGAUGCAUAGCCGACCUGAGAGGGUGAUCGGCCACACUGGGACUGAGACACGGCCCAGACUCCUACGGGAGGCAGCAGUAGGGAAUCUUCCGCAAUGGACGAAAGUCUGACGGAGCAACGCCGCGUGAGUGAUGAAGGCUUUCGGGUCGUAAAACUCUGUUGUUAGGGAAGAACAAGUACAAGAGUAACUGCUUGUACCUUGACGGUACCUAACCAGAAAGCCACGGCUAACUACGUGCCAGCAGCCGCGGUAAUACGUAGGUGGCAAGCGUUAUCCGGAAUUAUUGGGCGUAAAGCGCGCGCACGCGGUUUCUUAAUUCUGAUGUGAAAGCCCACGGCUCAACCGUGGAGGGUCAUUGUUAACUGGGGAACUUG